rfam:Schistosoma mansoni strain Puerto Rico chromosome 6, complete genome
GCACUACUGAGGAGUCCCACAAUAGGACGAAACGGCCGUCCAGUUC